rnacentral:rRNA from 1 species
UACGGAGGGAGCUAGCGUUGUUCGGAAUUACUGGGCGUAAAGCGCGCGUAGGCGGCUUUGUAAGUCAGGGGUGAAAUCCCGGAGCUCAACUCCGGAACUGCCCUUGAAACUGCAGUGCUAGAAUCUUGGAGAGGCGAGUGGAAUUCCGAGUGUAGAGGUGAAAUUCGUAGAUAUUCGGAAGAACACCAGUGGCGAAGGCGACUCGCUGGACAAGUAUUGACGCUGAGGUGCGAAAGCGUGGGGAGCAAACAGG